CUUAUGUGCUUGCCACUUAUUUUAAUUCUUCUUCUGAUGAGAUUGAACAAAAAGCAGUAGAGAAACUAUCAACAAAGAGCAGUAGAGAAACUAUCAAUGGAAAAGAGAUUGACUUGGAGGAGUUGGGAGGUAGAUUAGACCAAGCCCAAAUACAAAAGCACUAUAAGAUAACUAGCGUGGAACUAGGGAUAUCUUCUGUUGCUGAUGCCAUUACUUGAUGGAUUGCCUAUCGUGAUGCCUUGUGAGAAGAAUGAGGUUCAUGUUCUGGGAAUUUAGAGCUUCAUUUGAAGGUGGCCAAGGAAACAGAAAACCUGUAGCUUACUAUUCUUGUUUUAGCAAUUUCAAUUGUCCAGUGUUAUAUGUAAGUAUACUUGUAGGCAAAGGUGAAAUUUGGAAAACGUGAUUAUGCUACCUAUACCCAG